GCUUAACACAUGCAAGUCGAACGGGGUUAUAUUGUAGCUUGCUAUGGUAUAACUUAGUGGCAGACGGGUGAGUAAUGUAUAGGAAUCUACCUAGUAGUACGGAAUAAUUGUUGGAAAUGGCAACUAAUACCGUAUACGCCCUACGGGGGAAAGAUUUAUUGCUAUUAGAUGAGCCUAUAUUAGAUUAGCUAGUUGGUAAGGUAAUGGCUUACCAAGGCAAUGAUCUAUAGCUGAUCUGAGAGGAUGAUCAGCCACACUGGAACUGAGAUACGGUCCAGACUCCUACGGGAGGCAGCAGUGGGGAAUAUUGGACAAUGGGCGAAAGCCUGAUCCAGCCAUGCCGCAUGAGUGAAGAAGGCCUUUGGGUUGUAAAGCUCUUUCGGUGAGGAAGAUAAUGACAGUACUCACAGAAGAAGUCCUGGCUAACUCCGUGCCAGCAGCCGCGGUAAUACGGAGAGGGCUAGCGUUAUUCGGAAUUAUUGGGCGUAAAGAGCGCGUAGGCUGGUUAGUAAGUUAAAAGUGAAAUCCCAAAGCUCAACUUUGGAAUUGCUUUUAAAACUGCUAACCUAGAGAUUGAAAGAGGAUAGAGGAAUUCCUAGUGUAGAGGUGAAAUUCGUAAAUAUUAGGAGGAACACCAGUGGCGAAGGCGUCUAUCUGGUUCAAAUCUGACGCUGAGGCGCGAAGGCGUGGGGAGCAAACAGGAUUAGAUACCCUGGUAGUCCACGCUGUAAACGAUGAAUGUUAAAUAUGGGAAGUUUACUUUCUGUAUUACAGCUAACGCGUUAAACAUUCCNGCCUGGGGACUACGGUCGCAAGAUUAAAACUCAAAGGAAUUGACGGGGACCCGCACAAGCGGUGGAGCAUGUGGUUUAAUUCGAUGCAACGCGAAAAACCUUACCACUCCUUGACAUGGAAAUCAUACCUAUUCGAAGGGAUAGGGUCGGUUCGGCCGGAUUUCACACAGGUGUUGCAUGGCUGUCGUCAGCUCGUGUCGUGAGAUGUUGGGUUAAGUCCCGCAACGAGCGUAACCCUCAUCCUUAGUUACCAUCAGGUAAUGCUGGGGACUUUAAGGAAACUGCUAGUGAUAAACUGGAGGAAGGUGGGGAUGAUGUCAAGUCAUCAUGGCCCUUAUGGAGUGGGCUACACACGUGCUACAAUGG
rnacentral:rRNA from 1 species